rnacentral:rRNA from 1 species
CAGCCGCCGCGGUAAUACGUAGGUGGCAAGCGUUGUCCGGAAUUAUUGGGCGUAAAGGGCUCGCAGGCGGUUUCUUAAGUCUGAUGUGAAAGCCCUCGGCUCAACCGGGGAGGGUCAUUGGAAACUGGGAAACUUGAGUGCAGAAGAGGAGAGUGGAAUUCCACGUGUAGCGGUGAAAUGCGUAGAGAUGUGGAGGAAUACCAGUGGCGAAGGCGACUCUCUGGUCUGUAACUGACGCUGAGGAGCGAAAGCGUGGGGAGCGAACAGGAUUAGAUACCCCCGUAGUCCCUGUCUCUUAUAU